AGCUCCCCAUAUGAUGAUUUGAUGCUACAUUCACACUCCUCUAAGAAGAUUGUCUUCCCAAGACAAGCUCUCAUCGCUCCACACGCUCUCAUCGAUUUCCCUCCUAAAGUAAUGAUGCAGAAAUUGACGAUUCAAGCUCCCGUAUGAUGAUUACUUAUUCAGGAUCACCAUGUAAUCGCUCCAGACACUCGCGAUCCAUGCUUCGAAUAUGGCUAGGGUUCCAAUCGAGAUUUCACUUAUGUGAGUUUUAGGGUUCUUCCCAGAUGGCCUUACUCUCGAUCAGAGGCAUUGGAGUGAGCUACAGGUAAAGUCAAUCUCACCAAAAUCCUUGAGUGCCUCAGUUAGCGACAUUGGUUCGGUUGUUAGUAUGAUUGAUAAUAUUGCAGGAUCGGCACCAGGUAAUGGAUCAAGAACAGCAGUUGGGGAGGACUUGGUUGCCAUGACAAAAUUGCAUCUUCAAGCAAGAACUUCCGGCAUCCCAGAUGGAACAAGGAAAAUAAAACGCUUUACAAGUGCAAUCCCCUUAAAUGGUGUAUCAUCUGUUAACAGUGU